ensembl:lncRNA
ACUGUCCCGGGGCAGGAGGGCUCGGGGGAAUAAAGGAUGCAGCGGUUCAGCGUGCUUUCACACCAAGGAACCUUUGGAAAUGUAUUUGAACUCCAGAAGUGUGGGCGGGGUUAAAAAUGUUUGAAUUGGUUCGGCAGUACAAAGUUGCACCGAGGUGUCUCCAGCUGCAGUAAACACAGAAACAUCUGGUUUUCAGGAUGUAAGGAUGCAGAUGUUGACAUCUGACAGAUCACAGUUACUAAUGCUUGGAAAGGCCAAUGUUCAAAUGUGUGUCACAAGUUGUGUAAUAUCAAAAGGCCUCGUUUUACCAUGUGAUUUGAAACCUAAAUAUUUUCAACUUGCAAUGACAUUAAAGAUCAAAUUCAUGCAUUGGAGAGAGGAGGUAGCCACAGAUGUGAUGAUCACCAUUUUCUUGCUUUUAUUUAUCGAAGACACAGGCAGAGGAGAGGCGUCAGGUGACUGAGGCGAGUCCACCUGCAGGUAUUCAGAGAGGAGCGCGCUCAAUGUAGGACAGCUUUCCAACAGGGCAUUCAUCAGCCCUAAAUAUAGACGGGACCGAAGUAGGCUGAGCGCAGAGCCCUGCAGAAGGGCCGCGUAAAAAGAAGAAGCCCUGAGUUAACUCCUCUUGCUUAAGGGAUUAAAAGCAAGACGUGGUUUCCCCCCGUCACCAACUGCACAUGAAGAGGAAAGUGACAAACUCACACACAAAUUGAUCUACUAAAACCAUUCCCAUCUGACGGAGGAGGACUGAAGGGAACAGCUCCAGCUGUC